UACGGAGGAUGCGAGCGUUAUCCGGAUUUAUUGGGUUUAAAGGGUGCGUAGGCGGUCCGUUAAGUCAGCGGUAAAAUUGCGGGGCUCAACCCCGUCGAGCCGUUGAAACUGGCAGACUUGAGUUGGCGAGAAGUACGCGGAAUGCGCGGUGUAGCGGUGAAAUGCAUAGAUAUCACGCAGAACUCCGAUUGCGAAGGCAGCAUACCGGCGCCCAACUGACGCUGAAGCACGAAAGCGUGGGUAUCGAACAGG
rnacentral:rRNA from 1 species